rnacentral:rRNA from 1 species
UACGGAGGGUGCAAGCGUUAAUCGGAAUAACUGGGCGUAAAGCGCACGCAGGCGGGCUAUUAAGUGAGAUGUAAAAGCCCCGGGCUUAACCUGGGAAUAGCAUUUCAAACUGGGAGUCUAGAGUACUGUAGGGAGGGGUAGAAUUCCAUGUGUAGCGGUGAAAUGCGUAGAGAUGUGGAGGAAUACCGGUGGCGAAGGCAGCCCCUUGGACAUGUACUGACGCUCAGGUGCGAAAGCGUGGGGAGCAAACAGG